UUUUUAUCUGUAUCUAUCAUGGGUGUCUUAUUUUUAUCUAUCCAGGCCAGACAGGUACCUCAACGGCGGCAGCGGCUCCGGGUCGGCGAAGCCCCUCCUCUGGUGGAUCCCGGCGCCGUCCAGCGCCGCCUCCUUGGCGACUUCGCCGUUGGGCUUGACCGGUGGCUCGCAGCAGUGCGCCUCGCAGCCGGCCGCGUCGGGAGCAGCGGAGCCGUCGGGUAGGCGGCCGCGGCGCGGAUGGGACAUG
rnacentral:lncRNA from 1 species